rnacentral:rRNA from 1 species
UACGGAGGGAGCUAGCGUUGUUCGGAAUUACUGGGCGUAAAGCGCGCGUAGGCGGCUUUGUAAGUUAGAGGUGAAAGCCCGGAGCUCAACUCCGGAACUGCCUUUAAAACUGCAUCGCUUGAAUCCAGGAGAGGUGAGUGGAAUUCCGAGUGUAGAGGUGAAAUUCGUAGAUAUUCGGAAGAGCACCAGUGGCGAAGGCGGCUACACUGGACUGGUAUUGACGCUGAGGUGCGAAAGCGUGGGGAGCGAACAGG